AUUGAACGCUGGCGGCAGGCCUAACACAUGCAAGUCGAACGAGUGGCGGACGGGUGAGUAAUGUCUGGGAAACUGCCUGAUGGAGGGGGAUAACUACUGGAAACGGUAGCUAAUACCGCAUACCAUCAGAUGUGCCCAGAUGGGAUUGGCGUGGGGGUGGGGUAACGACUCACCAAGGCGACGAUCCCUAGCUGGUCUGAGAGGAUGACCAGCCCACCGGGAACGGCGCAACGGCCCAGCCUCCUACGGAAGGCAGCAGUGGGGAAGAUUGCCCAAUGGGCGCAGUCUUGAUGCAGCCAUGCCGCGUGGAUGAAGAAGGCCUUCGGGUGGUACAGUACUUUCAGCGGGGAGUCGUUACCCGCAGAAGAAGCACCGGCUAACGCCGUGCCAGCAGCCGCGGUAAUUC
rnacentral:rRNA from 1 species